GGGAGGCGGACACCACCACGGACUCCAGCUCCACCUCGGCACCUGUUGGGCAGACUCAGAAUAGCCUUUCCCAAGAGGCCGAGGGGGCCAUCCCGCCCGGCCUGGUCACGCCCCCCACAGCUGAGCAGCGAGCGUCCAGCAGACAAGCAGGACAGCACUUUGAAAGUCACAUGACGUGGGGCACCCUCCACCACCUCCAUCACAGCGGUCCACUGGGGGGCUGUCCCCCCGGAGCCCAGAGCGCCCUGGCUCCUUCCUGGCAUGUUCCAGACCUGCCCGAGAAUGGGACUGGCACGUGGUAGGUGCUCAAUAAAUCUUCGCAGGCCCCGUGACGGACGUUGGGGCAGCCCAGUCAGCGAUGCCUCCGACACCAGCUCGGCCCGGCUCCCCUGCAGGGGUUUCCCCUGCCCCCCGCCGUCUUCACCAGAUGCCCUCCCCAGUCUGGCCCCACCAGCUUCCUCAGGGCCCCUCCCUGGGCUGGAGACAAAGAUGAGCAAAGAGCCUUCCCGGGGCUGGAGGCCGCUGGGCGGCUGUGAGGGACCGGGGAUUCACCCAGCAGCCCUGCCCGGAGCCCCCGCCCGGGUCCCCGCCACCCCAGGCAGCACCACUUCUCUAGGGACACAGGUUCGAGCCCUGGUCCGGGAAGAUCCCAC